rnacentral:rRNA from 1 species
AUUGAACGCUGGCGGCAUGCCUUACACAUGCAAGUCGAACGGCAGCACGGGUGCUUGCACCUGGUGGCGAGUGGCGAACGGGUGAGUAAUACAUCGGAACAUGUCCUGUAGUGGGGGAUAGCCCGGCGAAAGCCGGAUUAAUACCGCAUACGAUCCACGGAUGAAAGCGGGGGACCUUCGGGCCUCGCGCUAUAGGGUUGGCCGAUGGCUGAUUAGCUAGUUGGUGGGGUAAAGGCCUACCAAGGCGACGAUCAGUAGCUGGUCUGAGAGGACGACCAGCCACACUGGGACUGAGACACGGCCCAGACUCCUACGGGAGGCAGCAGUGGGGAAUUUUGGACAAUGGGCGAAAGCCUGAUCCAGCAAUGCCGCGUGUGUGAAGAAGGCCUUCGGGUUGUAAAGCACUUUUGUCCGGAAAGAAAUCCUUGGCUCUAAUACAGUCGGGGGAUGACGGUACCGGAAGAAUAAGCACCGGCGAACUACG